UACGUAGGUGGCAAGCGUUGUCCGGAUUUAUUGGGUUUAAAGGGUGCGUAGGCGGCCCUGUAAGUCAGUGCUGAAAUACCCCGGCUUAACCGGGGGGGUGGCAUUGAUACUGCAGGGCUUGAGUACAGAUGAGGUAGGCGGAAUUGACGGUGUAGCGGUGAAAUACAUAGAUAUCGUCAAGAACACCGAUAGCGAAGGCAGCUUACUGGGCUGUAACUGACGCUGAUGCACGAAAGUGUGGGGAUCAAACAGG
rnacentral:rRNA from 1 species